GACGAACGCUGGCGGCGUGCUUAACACAUGCAAGUCGAACGGAAAGGCCCUGCUUGCAGGGUGCUCGAGUGGCGAACGGGUGAGUAACACGUGGGUGAUCUGCCCCUUACUUUGGGAUAAGCCUGGGAAACUGGGUCUAAUACUGGAUAGGACCAUGCUGUAGGUGGUGUGGUGGAAAGAUUAGUUUUGGUAAGGGAUGAGCUCGCGGCCUAUCAGCUCGUCGGUGGGGUAAUGGCCUACCAAGGCGUCGACGGGUAGCCGGCCUGAGAGGGUGGACGGCCACAUUGAGACUGAGAUACGGCGCAGACGCCUACGGGAGGCAGCAGUGGGGAAUAGUGCACAAUGGGCGCAAGCCGGAUGCAGCGACGCCGCGUGGGGGAUGACGGCCUUCGGGUUGUAAACUCCUUUCAGCCAUGACGAAGCCCUUGUGGUGACGGUAGUGGUAGAAGAAGCACCGGCUAACUACGUG
rnacentral:rRNA from 1 species